rnacentral:tRNA from 1 species
GCCGAGGUAGCUCAGGCGGUAGAGCACGGCCCUGAAAAGGCCGGUGUCCCCAGUUCGAAUCUGGGCCUCGGCACCA